rnacentral:rRNA from 1 species
GACGGAGGAUGCAAGCGUUAUCCGGAAUGAUUGGGCGUAAAGCGUCCGCAGGUGGCAGUUCAAGUCUGCUGUCAAAGACCGGGGCUUAACUUCGGAAAGACAGUGGAAACUGAACAGCUAGAGUAUGGUAGGGGCAGAGGGAAUUCCUGGUGUAGCGGUGAAAUGCGUAGAGAUCAGGAAGAACAUCGGUGGCGAAGGCGCUCUGCUGGACCAUAACUGACACUCAGGGACGAAAGCUAGGGGAGCGAAUGGG